GAGUGAGUUCUCACGAGAUCUGAUGGUUUUGUAAGGCAGUUUUCCCUGCUCUUGUUUACUCUCUCUCACCAGCAUCAUGUAAGAUGUGCCUGCUCCCGCUUCCGCCAUGAUUGGAAGUUUCCCGAGGCCUCCUCAGCCAUGUGGAACUGCAGAGCUGGCCUGGUGACUUAAUUCACAUUGGGACACUUACUGUCACAUUCAUCGCACUGGAUUAAAUACUGCAACUGAACAGCCAAAAGAAGAGGUAUUCUCCACUGGUUGAAUGCAAAUGGAAGCCAGAGGAAAAGGGAACCCUUGACACAGUUUUCAUAUAGAUUGGCCUCCAGAGCAGACAGCAGGAGGGGGGUUUAAUCUGGACUGAAUUGGAGGAAAGGAACUGGCACCAGAGUGGAGGCUGGAAGGAUGGUGGAACUGACACUGGGACAGAACACAGAAAACAGAAUCUAAUGCUAUUGCUCUGGCUAUAUCAAAUAAAAGUGUCAAGAGUGAGCAUCCUUGCCUUGUGCUGAAUCACAAAGGAAUACCUUUCAGUUUUUCUCCAUUGAUUAUGAUAGCAGUGGGCUUUUCACAGUGGGCUUUAUUGUGUUGAGGUACCCUAAUGACAAGUUCACCCCAGUGUUUUCUGAGGAGUCUACCUGGAAAUGAGAACCAUCUGUCCUUCCUAUAGUAGUUCUUCUCAGAAUGCCGACUCUAUGCUAAUGGCUACCCACAGAUCCAGGGCCAUAAAUAACUGCCAAAGAAGAGAAGCCUUCUCUCUUCUCUGCUGUUGCUUCAUUUUAUAGUCUCAGGAAAUCUCAUCAUAGCCAGUGCUUAUGAACAAUCCGGAGAAGAGGACAGUGCAUUCUCCAACCACACUGCUUGUCUACAGCAGGAGCCCACAUUGGACUCCAUGCCCCGGCUGGCGUCUACUCUCUGUCAUGGAGGAGUUUGCCUCUCCAGCCCUCGCCCGGGGCACAGAGCUCUUGCUCUGUGGGCUUCCCUGGAGCCAUAGCCUGAGCCAUGCCAGCGAAGUCAGAGAAGAGCAGAAGCUCAAACAUCCCAAGAAUUGUGUUCCAUAAAAGGCUCACUUUCUAGUCACACCUUGUACACAUUCUCUAGAGAGAAUCACCUAUUUCUCAUUUUUGAAAUGUUCUUUAAUGUCAUAGAAUUCAGGCUCAGGCAGACUUGGGUAUGAAUAUCAGCUCUACCACUUAUUACUGUGUGGUUCUAUCUGAACCUUGGUUUUCCUAUCUGUAAAAUGGGCAUAUUAAUGCUUACCUCACAUGACCAGCUGUAAUCUGGGCAAUGCACCUAGCUCAGUGCCUGGCCCAUAGUUGGUACUUAAUAGGAUGCCAUGAAGGCUCUCAGAACAUCCCUAUGAGGAUAAUGCCUAAUCAUCCCAUUGGAAAUCCAUAUACAUACUUUAUUUAGCAACUGAAAGUGUAAAUGUGAUUCAUUUACUCUGAAUAGGUAAUCUAUUUAUAGUGUGGAUAUGCAAGCAUGUAUAGUGAAAAGUCUCCCUCCCACCAAUAGUCCAUAGAUGACUUCUAGUUCCUAUUUCCUGAAAUAAUAAAUACAGUUUUUUCGGAGCCAUUUCCAGCCUAUAUGAGCAAACACAUAUAGUCAUGCAUCACUUAAUAAUAGGAAUAUGUCCUGAGAAAUGCAUUGUUAGGCUAUUUCCUUGAGCAAAAAGUCUUUAAGAAAUGAAAAAGUUUAUAAAUUUGAAAAAUUACAGUAAGCUCAUAAAGUGUGCUUACACAGACCUAGAUGGUGUAGCCUACUACAUAUCCAGGCUAUAUGAUGUAGCUUGUUGCUUCCAGGUUACAAACUGUAUAGCAUGUGACUGUACUGAAUAUGGUAGGCAACUGUAACAUAGUGGUAAGUACUUGCAUAUCUCUAUACAUCAAACAUAGAAAAGGCACAGUAUAAAUACAGUAUAAAAGAUAAAAACAUAGUACACCUAUACAGGACCCUUACCAUGAAUGGAACCUGCAGGACUAGCUGCAGAAAGAGCCCCCUCCUGCAGGACUAGGAGUUACUCUGGGUGAGUCAAUGAGUGAGUGGUGAGUGAUUUUGAGGGCUUAGGACAUUGUACUACUGUAGUUUGUAUACACACUAUACACUUAGGCUACACUAAAUUUAUUUUAAAAAAUUAUCUUCAAUAAUAAAUUAACCUUAACUUACUACAACUUUUAAAUUUUUUAAACUUUUUCAUUUCUUAAGGACAUUUUUUUUCUUUUUCAUUUCUGGUGGACAUUUCUUCCACCUCCACAUCUUGUCCCACUGGAAGGUCUUCAGGGGCAAUAACACACACGGAGCUGUCAUCUCCCAUGAUAACAAGGCCUUCUUCUGCAUACCUCCUGCAGGACCUGUCUGAGUCUGUUUUAUAGUAGCUUUAUUUUUAAAUAGAAGAAUUACACUGUAGACUAAUGAUAAAAAGUGUAGUAUAGUAAAUACAUAAGCCAGUAACAUAGUUAUUUAUUAUCAUUAUCAGAUAUUACAUGCUGUACAUAAUCACAUUUGUUAUAUUUUAUAGAAGGCCAGCAUAGUAGGUUGGUAUACACCAGCAUUACCACAAAAACCUGAGUAAUGCAUUGUACUACAAUGUCAUAAUGGCUAUGAUGUCACUAGAUAGGAAUUUUUCAGCUCCAUUAUAAUCUUGUGGGAGCAUCAUUAUACAUGUAGUUCAUCAUUGACCAAGACGUUAUUAUGUGAUGCAAUUUAUACAUAAAUGCUUACAUCUUUUUAAAAAAAUGUAACUUAGCAGUGUAUCUUCAAGAUUGUUCAGUGCAGAAACUGUGGUUUCAUUUAUUUAUAGCUGUAUGGUAUUCUGUAGUAUGGAUGUGCAUGCCUACAAGCUCCUAUCUGUAAUUCCUAAAAUUAAAAACAAAAGAAAACAAACCUCCAUGAACCAAAUAGCAAACUCAUUUGGUGGCAAAACGUGACUUAGACUGAUACAAGGACUGAUAUAUAAGGUUCAAUGCCCCAUAUGAGCUUUCUAAAUUUCAAAACAUUCUGACAUGCAAACCACAUCAAAACCCAGGGUUUCAAAUAAAAAAUUGUGGAGCUGUACUGUAAUUC